UCACUUCUCACCUUUUCUCUCCUGGCCACCAGAGAGCUUGCAGCAAGCCUGAGAGUCUCUCCUUCAUGGCUCCUCAGCAUGACCGUCCUUGAGCAAUGAGCCAGUCUACCCUCUUCCAAGGCUGUGCUUUCCUGCCAGUGGGCUCUGAGUUUUCCAAGAU
rfam:Cavia porcellus supercont2_65 genomic scaffold, whole genome shotgun sequence.